UCAAUGUGCAAGAUAUUAGGCAACUGCAUGCCCAAAAUCAAGGAGCACAAUGAAGGAGCUCAUUCUAAACACAAAUUUACCAAAUCGAAGGAAAAAGAAAGGAUUGGGCCAGGAAUUCCUUUAACCUGAUGAUACUCAAAGGAUUCGUACAACUGAGACCCUCAAGUACACAGUGCCAGACAUCAAUGUCGAAACUGAUGUGCUCCUUAAUGGCAACAUAUCACCAGAAAGUGGAAAUAGAAAGACUCUCUUGUUCAAAAUUUGGAAAUCCACUGAUGUUUUCAAAACACCAACAAAUACUUCCCAUCAGGCCUGUUCAACCAUUUUGAGGGCCCAUUGACUACUUUGUUGGCAGGUACAGUGGGAGUUGAACAAAUGAUCUGCCUGAUUCCUUCUCAAAGUAACCAGCACUGGAUGAGAAAUCAUUUUUAAAAAUUUCAGAACAAUUUGAAGGACCUUGUGUUCCUUAAACAACAACAAAAAACCAGAAUGGUAUAUUUUGCGAAUGAGACCAAUGAUCAAUGAGCAUCUAAACAAGUUUCAGCUUUACAAGUUGACAUGAAACCUAGCACAACCAGAGAUAAUAGGAACUGCUGAUGCUGGAGAAUCUGAGAUAACACGGUGUGAAGCUUGGUGAACAAAGCAGGCCAAGCAGCAUCAGAGGAGCAGGAAAACUUGACGCUUCAGUUUGGGACCCUUCUUCAGAAACUUCUAACCACAUGCUCAAUUUUGGUUCUCUACCUGAAAAGACUGAACUUCACUGGAAGGGUAGUGAAAAGAGAUGCAGCACAGUCUUCUUAGGCUGACACGUCAGGAGACAUGGAGAGCAAGUUCUUGUGACUGCUUUUGGAGAUCAACGGUCAGAAAGUCCUGAUUGUGAUUGACAUCCUGACUGUUGGGAGACUGGGGUGGUGGGUCAGGAGGAAUUUGUAGCUACAUUAAAGAGGUAUAUCUGAAAAUAAGUAUUAAUCACAAAACUGGGGGCUGGAAUAUACCUUCUGCUACCUGUUCAGCUUGGUGCCGAUUGGAUUAUAACUAUGUAAGAUCAGCUCCCAAUUGUCAUGCUGUCCCCUCCAAAAAUGACUUCAUAAAAAGCAUCCCUGGGGUCAAAGGUCAGGUGAAUCAACAUAUAAAUUUAUAUCCUCCUAGUACUGUAGCCAACAAUAAAAAAAAAUUUAAGUCAGUAUCAUUCAGCCUGUAAGGAAUCGGAACAAUGCAGCUAUCUUUGUUGUGAUAUGGCCAUUAAUUAAACAAGCUGAUUGCUGAUUUUGGAAGCAAUAGGAAUUGCCAAGGUCAAAUAUCUGACAUUUGCUGACAAAGCAUCAUUGAUUAUUAUUGAAGAUUGUUUCUGUUUACUGUUGAUCAGUAUCCUGGUUAAUGAAAUUGUGGGAGAUAUUUUGUUUGUCUACAACUUUGCUGUUUAAAAGGCUGGGUUCCUAAAUGUCUGCAGCUCCACGGGAUGGUCAGUGCUUUAGAUAAAGUUGUAAUUUUCACAGCCUUAAGCGUGUGAAAUCCCUCAGAGUACAUAUAAGUUAUUCAUGCAGCAAACUAAAGGCUGUUUUAGCAUAGCAUCAAA